rnacentral:rRNA from 1 species
CGCUGGCGGCAUGCCUAACACAUGCAAGUCGAACGGAACUAAGGGGCUUGCCCUUAGUUAGUGGCGGACGGGUGAGUAACGCGUGAGCAACUGCCUUUCAGUGGGAAUAAUAUCCUGAAAAGGGUACUAAUACCGCAUAACGUAACGAGAUCGCAUGGUUUUGUUACCAAAGAUUUAUCGCUGAGAGAUGGGCUCGCGUCCGAUUAGCCAGUUGGUGGGGUAACGGCCUACCAAAGCUACGAUCGGUAGCCGGACUGAGAGGUUGAACGGCCACAUUGGGACUGAGACACGGUCCAGACUCCUACGGGAGGCAGCAGUGGGGGAUAUUGCGCAAUGGGGGAAACCCUGACGCCAGCAAUGCCGCGUGAAGGAUGAAGGUCUUCGGAUUGUAAACUUCUUUUGUCAGGGACGAAAAUUGACGGUACCUGACGAAUAAGCUCCGGCUAACUACGUGCCAGCCGCUGC